GUGCCAGCCGCCGCGGUAAUACGUAGGGUGCGAGCGUUGUCCGGAAUUAUUGGGCGUAAAGAGCUUGUAGGCGGUUUGUCGCGUCUGCUGUGAAAAUCCGGGGCUCAACCCCGGACUUGCAGUGGGUACGGGCAGACUAGAGUGUGGUAGGGGAGACUGGAAUUCCUGGUGUAGCGGUGGAAUGCGCAGAUAUCAGGAGGAACACCGAUGGCGAAGGCAGGUCUCUGGGCCACUACUGACGCUGAGAAGCGAAAGCAUGGGGAGCGAACAGGAUUAGAUACCCCCGUAGUCC
rnacentral:rRNA from 1 species